rnacentral:tRNA from 1 species
CAAAAGAUAAUUUAAAUAAAAUAUUAACUUUGGAAGUUAAAAAUAAUAUUAUAUUUCUUUUGA